ensembl:lncRNA
GGAACUGUACAGGAACUGUACAGGAAGACACAUGCUCAGAAUGGCCCCCCUUCUCCUCCCCAGCUCACACCCCACUGACUCAGCAAGCCCAGAGCCACCCCUUCGCACCCCUUCCUGGCCCAGUGCACCCCCAAACCGGCCGUGCAAGCACACCCUUCAGACUUUGUAGCUGCUUUUAUUAUUAAUAUUAUCUUUUCCUUUAAACAUCCCUUUAAGGGUGAAAUGAAAUCCAACCAUUUACAGAGAAAAUGAUUUCAGAAUGUACAUAUUGAUUUUUCCCUUACAAAAAAAAUAAUACUAUUGUUAUUACUGGUGUCCUUAACUUACACGUUUCCCAGGGCCCUGCCUGCUGCUCGGGCAAGUUGUGUUUCCCCACCCCGACGGUCACCUUUGCCCCCAAAGCUCUCCCACGCCUGCCCGUGGGAAGAAAGCUGGCUCUGGCGACAGGGCCAGCAGUGCGCUGGCGGUCACAUUCACAGUUUGGCUUCCCUUUAAUACUGGGGGAGUGGCCCAGGGUUCCCCUGCCCCCGAAAUUCCCAGUGUAUGAUGUGAGUAAAAGUGAAAUUCUUCAACCCCAUGCCUUGGCUCUAAGCUCCUCCCCAAUUCCUUCUCCUGCCCCUGAGCCAGUGGACCGGAGGCCAGGGCCCCCCGGCCAGCCUGGAGAAGGGGGCAGAGAGGUAGCGGGCUUGCAGCUGUACAGCCCUCAGGCCAGGCGGCUUCUUAUUCCAUGGACUGAAAGACAGACAGACAGAUGGCCCCCACGUCCCCUUUCGCCUUGCUUUCCAGGCUCCCCAAGUGGCUGUCAGCCUCAGUCGUUUUGGGGAGUUGCAGGAGGUGUGGCCACAGGCUCCAGGUCCCCGGAAAGGGGCGGCCUGGGCCCUGCUCUCACCUCCACACACAAGCAUCUAUGUACAGGGACACACCGACGUAGACACGUACAAGUAGGCUCUGCGUCCUGGCAUUACUGGGUAAACGCCUGAGGGGGCUUGGGGGAGGGGGUGUUCAUCCUGCCCACAACUGCAGGCUCUCACCACACCCGGGCCCUGGGUGGCCAGUGAGGCGGCGGAAGCACUCAUUCUACCCUCUGUCCUCCCCCUCUGCCAGCCAUGCUCCUCGUCCCCACACCCAUCCCCUCCUCCUUCCUUUAAGAAAUGAACGGGGCAGCCCAGCCGAAAACUACUCUUCCCAGCUUCCCUUGCAGCUACUAGCAGCCAUGUGACUAAGUCCUGGCCAGUGAGAUGCCAUCAGAAGUGACUGUGCCACCUCUAGCUCAUGCUCUUACCAGAAAGGGUGUGCCCUCCCCAUGUCUAUUCUGAGUCCCCCAGGCGUGGACGCACACAUGACGGUGGGCGCUGCAGCAACCCCUCUGUCUGGAAUUGGAAGGUGUGACAAAGGGCAGACAGCAGAGCUGCCUGCUAGAGCCAGGCCGUCUCCCUCCCCGGGGGGGGAGUUAGAAACAGGCUUCGGCCUUCCUUCACUCACUGUAUUUUGGGGUCUCUUAAUUACAGCGGUUUAGAAUCUACUCUAGCAAAUACAUCCCCCUCCCCCAUGAGGCAACGAAGGAAUGAGGUGACACAGGACUGGCCUUACUGUCCCUCUUGGGCCGAGGGCAGGCUUGUGGCUCCUUCCUGGCCCCGAGGCAGCCCCAAGGAGGGGCACUUGGGUGACUCCACCUGUGACGGUGGAGAGCUGGCACUGUGGGUUCCAGUGGGAAGGGGUGAUGGGGAGGGGGAGGCUCCUCCCCCCGGGUCUGACCUACGAGGUUGGCUGAUGGUCCCGUCCCAUUCUGAGAGCUGGACACCUGGCCUUGCCAGGACUGGGGGGUGGGGGGUGGGUGGCACAAGAUGGAGGUAUAAAACGGAAGGAAUGUCAAGGGCAGGUCUGGAACCAAAAGGAAGACU